rnacentral:rRNA from 1 species
UACGUAGGGGGCAAGCGUUGUCCGGAGUUACUGGGCGUAAAGCGCACGCAGGCGGUCUGUUAAGUUUGGAGUGACAGUUGGUGGCUUAACUGCCAAAGUGCUUCGAAAACUGAUCGACUUGAGGGCUUCAGAGGGACACGGAAUUCCGGGUGGAGUGGUGAAAUGCGUAGAGAUCCGGAGGAACACCGAAGGCGAAGGCAGUGUCCUGGGGAGUACCUGACGCUCGAGGUGCGAAAGCCAGGGGAGCGAACGGG